AGUGAACGCUGGCGGUAGGCCUAACACAUGCAAGUCGAACGGCAGCACAGUAAGCGCUUGCUCUUACGGGUGGCGAGUGGCGGACGGGUGAGAAAUACAUCGGAAUCUACUUUUUCGGGGGGGAUAACGUAGGGAAACUUACGCUAAUACCGCAUACGACCUACGGGUGAAAGCAGGGGAUCUUCGGACCUUUCGCGUUUGAAAUAGCCGAUGCCGGAUUAGCUAGUUGGCGGGGUAAAGGCCCACCAAGGCGACGAUACGUAGCUGAUCUGAGAGGAUGAUCGGCCACACUGGAACUGAGACACGGUCCAGACUCCUACGGGAGGCAGCAGUAGGGAAUAUUGGACAAUGGGCGAAAGCCUGAUCCAGCCAUACCGCGUGGGUGAAGAAGGCCUUCGGAUCGUAAAGCCCUUUUGUUGGGAAAGAAAAGCAGCAGGUUAAUACCCCGCUGUUCUGACGGUACCCAAAGAAUAAGCACCGGCUAACUUCGUG
rnacentral:rRNA from 1 species